UCUUUGGGUUCUCAAAUUGGGUACCCAAAAUAAGUCCCAUUGACCUUAAUUUCUUGGUGUCAAUGCCCCACUGUAAAAUGGGGAAUAAUAACAUUCCCUGGCUUCCUGAGGUGCUGUGAAAGGAAUUUGUGAAACGUCUAGAUGCCAUGGUAAUGUGUGCUGUGGAAGAGUCCACAAGGGAAAUCAGUAAUUCUGUCUUGAGAGCAGGAUUUGAAUAGAAAACAAUGCAUGUUGCCAAACAUUGAAGAAUGAGAAGGAAAACGAUGAAUAGCUGUUCACCAAAGGCAUGGCUCCAGUGCUGGCUUAACUCAGGUGAUCAGAACCCUGGUCUGAGAUCCAGAGUUAAUUGCAAAAGCCAUAUCUGAACUGCUGUCUCCCUGAAACUCACUGGAACUGUAUUUAGCUGUAGAUAUUGCAAAAACAUCACUGGGGAUACACCAUGGCUCUUUGUGCUGCAGUAAUCUGUGUGAGUCUCCCAGCUCAUUUCUGUCUCAGUCCUGUCCCUUUUCCCCUCUGGCUCCUCAUUCCAGUUCCAUUCCCCUCUUGAAGACAAUCCCAGCCUCUGCUCUCAGGUUUCUUAUGCUAGUCUUUGUUUCCAUCCUCAGUAGGAGGAUUAUAGAUUCCUAUCCCAGUUCCAGUGAUUCACUCCCAAUCCCCAUCACCUUGAUCAGCCAUUCCCAAUUCCCCUUCUUCUGGCUUCUCAUCUCAUCCAGCUCUCACCACCCUUAUCUACAAUCUAAACAUCCUCUAUUGCAGCUUGAAACCAUUCAUCGUGGUUCCCUAUGGACACAGAGGAAAGCCCAUCUCCAUUCUCUCUAUAUUGCACUUCAGGUAUUUUAAGACUGUUAUGAAAUUCCCCACCCUCAAUAUUCUCCUCUCUGGACUAAAUAACCUUCUUUGAAUGUGGGGCCCAAAACUGGACACAGUACUUCAGGUGAGGCUUCACCAGUGCUUAAUAAAGAGGAAGAAUCGCUUCCCUUGAUUUGCAACUGACACUCCUGCUAAUACAACCCACUAUACUUGUUGGCCUUUUUUGCAACAAGAGUGCACUGUUGCUCAUAUUCAGUUUAUGGUCUAGUAUAGCCCUAGGUCCUUCUCUGCAGUACUGCAGCAUAGUCACUCAUUCCCUAGUCUGUAUUUGUGCAUACAAUUAUUCUGUUCCCAAGCACAGGACUUUACAUUUGUCCUUGCUGAAUUUAGCCAGAUUGCUUGUGGACCAUUGCUCCAGGCUAUUCAGGUCAUUCUGGGUCCUAGCCCUGCCCUCCAAAGUGUCUGCAGCUCCACCCAACUUGAUAUCAACCACAAUUUUUUUAAGCAUGAGCUUAAUCCCAUCAUCCAAAACAUUAAUUAAGAUAUUAAACAAUACAGGACCCAGGACAGACCUCUGCAGAACCUGUAACAGGAAAUCCUUGUCCUGUUACUAGGGAAAGUCUGUGGGGUAAACAAAAUAUGCAAGGACCCUUUAAAAGUAGCAUUUCUGUAGCCAGAAGAGAUAAGAGUUCAGGAAACGAAAAUAUAGCUCCAGGGACAGACAAUAAUACUAUUAGGGAGAAGCCCCAGCAGGCAGCGAAGGGAAAAGAGACAGGGUACCUACAAUCACCAGCAACCCUGCCACAGGUGGGUUGGAACUAAUCAGAGACUGCAGGCCAAGGGAAACAGCUGGUAGGACUGCACAGAAUAAUAAGAAACCCUUCUACUCAGACUGAAAGGUUUGCCCUCAGGCCAGAGGCAUUCCCUCUAGCCCUGGCUAGGGAAGGAUGAAAAGCUCGCAGGAAGGCUAUCAUGGCAUUUAGUGUCCCAGUAAGGGGAACCAUGAUGAACAAGGGUGAAGAAGCCUUUUCUAAAUGUGGAGAACUCGAGGCCCCAACAUGAUUGUUACCACUGGAAGAAGAAAGUAUUGAUGUCGUACCUCCUAGAGAGCAGCAUUAAUGGGCUGAACAAGUAAUACUAUAGAUGAAACAACCUGGAGUAAUGUCCUCUCCCCCCGCACUACCUCCCCAACAUGUACUCCAUGUAAUCUGUGAUAAAAGGUCCUACCAAAAGAGCCCUCCAGGUUCCUUCAGAUGCUCCAGUUACCUCUCCACUAGUCCUUCAAGGAACUGCUGUAUAACCAUGAUGUUCCGUCACAGUUGAAGAAAGCAGCGCUCAUCCAUUGUGUGUGUGUGUGUGUGUGUGUGUGUGUGUGUGUGUGUGUGUGUGUGUGUGUGUG